UACGGAGGGUGCAAGCGUUAAUCGGAAUUACUGGGCGUAAAGCGCACGCAGGCGGUUUGUUAAGACAGAUGUGAAAUCCCCGGGCUCAACCUGGGAACUGCAUUUGUGACUGCAAGGCUAGAAUCUGGCAGAGGGGGGUAGAAUUCCACGUGUAGCAGUGAAAUGCGUAGAUAUGUGGAGGAAUACCGAUGGCGAAGGCAGCCCCCUGGGCUAAGAUUGACGCUCAUGCACGAAAGCGUGGGGAGCAAACAGG
rnacentral:rRNA from 1 species